CCUACGGGGGGCAGCAGUGGGGAAUAUUGCGCAAUGGGGGAAACCCUGACGCAGCAACGCCGCGUGAGUGAAGAAGGCCUUCGGGUUGUAAAGCUCUUUAAUCAGGGACGAAGAAUGACGGUACCUGAAGAAUAAGCUCCGGCUAACUACGUGCCAGCAGCCGCGGUAAUACGUAGGGAGCAAGCGUUAUCCGGAUUUACUGGGUGUAAAGGGCGUGUAGGCGGGCCUGCAAGUCAGAAGUGAAAUCUGGGGGCUUAACCCCCAAACUGCUUUUGAAACUGUGGGUCUUGAGUGAUGGAGAGGCAGGCGGAAUUCCCAGUGUAGCGGUGAAAUGCGUAGAUAUUGGGAGGAACACCAGUGGCGAAGGCGGCCUGCUGGACAUUAACUGACGCUGAGGCGCGAAAGCGUGGGGAGCAAACAGGAUUAGAUACC
rnacentral:rRNA from 1 species